CUCCUGGCGACCCGGGCAGCCCUUCUGCACCUACGGGAGAAGCAAAUCCGGCCGCUUCGUGGCGCCGGUGUUCGCGAUGGCGUCCGCGAGUCCCGGGUCCCGGCCCUGGGCGCACCCGCGAAAUUUGUUGCAUGCAUCGUAAUCCUUGAACAUGUCAUACCUCUAUGCAUCUUACUGACCCCGCAGAACUAAAAAGGAUCGUAAGAGAGUCUAUGAAAAUUAAUAUACCAAUAAAUUGGAUAAACUAGAUUAAAUGGACAAAUUACUGGUAACACACAAACAACCUACGCUGACUAUACAACAAAUAGAAUAUCUCAACAGACCAAUUCCAAGCAAAGAGAUUGCAUCAGUCUUCAGAAAUCUCUCAACAAAGAAUAGCUCAGGAUCAGAUGUCUUCACAGGUGAAUUCUACCAUUUAUUCCAAGAAGAAUUAAUACCAAUCAUGUUCAAACCCUUCCAAAAAUAUGAAGAGAAGGGAACACUACCCAAUCCGUUCCAUGGGACCAACAUCACCCCAAAGCUAAAGCCACACAAAGAUAAAAAAAUAAAAUAAAAUUACACACCAAUUUCUUCUAUGAAUAUGGACGCAAAGAUCCUGAACAAAAUACUUGCCAAUCGAAUCUAACAGUUCAUGGAAAGAAAAAAAAAAAACCAAACAAGUUCAGGUGGAUAUUAUUCCAGGCAUGCAAGAUGGCUCAACAUUACAAAAUCAAAUAUAAAACACAACAUUAUUAAACAGAAGGGAAAAGAGCAUCAUCCUGUCAAUGGAUGCAGAAGAUGCUUUUGACAAAAUGCAGCAUUCUUUCUUGACAACAACACUUAGAAAUGUGAAGUUCUGUGAUAGAUGUCGAACACUGUCAGUUCCCAGGAGUGAAGACUGAGAAAGACCGAACAUCAGCUGUCUCCUAAGAACCCCAGUGAUGCCAAACAGCUUCAUCGACUGCUCUUUAUAAACUGAGGAAGUGGUGAAGGGUGAAGGGUAGAAAUAUGGAGCCAGCUGUUACUUUCAAAAAGAAGUGCUUUCAAUGGAAAGAACACCAUCAUCAUUAAAUUUUUAUAAGAGUUAAUGCUCAGCCUUGCUCUAUUGUCAGCAGAAAGAUCAGGCAAUUUAACCAGGGUGGGAGGGGGAAGGCAUCUUCUCAAGUUUCUUUGGAAAGCAUUUUAGAAAGAAACCUAGGACAUCUGGCUCAUCUGAUGAAAUAGACUUCUGAUUUCUAAGGUGACCCACGAACAUAUUGCUAAAAAAUUGUUUGUUUUUUAAUUAUUCUGGGUCCUAUAUUCCAUUUAGGCCAGAAUUAUGAUAUAGUGAAUCUAUUAUAAUUGCUAUAUACAAUAAAACUAGAUGAGUAUUUAAUAAUUCAUUGGGAUCCUUUGUGUAAUGCAUGUAUACAUUUUAUAAGUCUUGGAUUAUACUUCCACUUCCUUAAAUGCACAGUGGUUUAUAGUUGUUUACUUUAAUGUAAUAUUAUUUGUCUUACCUCAGAUUUGUUUGAUAUUGAAUCCUUGGUCAGAAAUACAACUCUUGUUUGGAUUUGCCUCCGAUUCCAGGCAUAUAUGGAUCUUGCACAAUCAUACUUAAUAUGUGGUGUCCAAAUGGAUUACCUUUGUUACACAUGGCUCACUACGUAACUAGUAAUCUUGGAGGAUUGAUAUCUAAUGUAUGGGAGAAGGUCUGCAGAUGGCCUGGAGUGUGACACAGGACAGGUGGAAUAAGAGCAAGGCCCUUUUUUAUACCAGACAUUCAAGUCAUGUAUUAGUUCUAUAAAGUUCCAAUUUUCAUAUAAUAGUUGUCUUAAAGCAGGAUGCACAGAUACAUUGUUCAUUACCUAAAUAUAGUCUACAAUGCAGUUUGAGCAGUUCCCUUCUCCCCACCCGACCCCCAUACUUCAUUGACUUUCUAGUCCAAAGUAUCAAGAAUAACUGUAGUUGCCAUUUAUGGACUACUCUCUGGGUACCAGAAAUUCUGUAAGCACUUUUUGUACAAAAGUCCAUUAAACUUGUCAAUUAUUCUUUGAGAUAAGAGUUACAGUUUCAUGUAAUUGAAAAAAAUUCAUGCAACGUAAGGAGUGCUGUUGUAAAAAGCCACUAUAAUUUUGAGAUGUAUUGAAAUGGACCAUGAUACAUAAAAAUCAAGUAGUGACUCUUCCUUUAUACAUUGUAUUAGUGAGAUCCAAUUGAGAGUGUUGUGUUCAGUUUUGAUUAGCUCAGUUUAAAAAGAAAGGGUUACGGUAGCCUUGACUCUGGAAGAUGUACGUAUAACAAUGUAGCUUACAAGGGGUGACAAUGUGAAUGGGAAAGCCUUGUGGAUCACACUUCCCUUUAUCCAGUGUAUGGAUGGAUGAGUAGAAAAAUGGGGACCAAAAACUAAAGGAA